ensembl:lncRNA
AGGAGAGAGAGAGAGAAGAAUAAGCUUUAAAACAAAUGAACAUGUACAUUUUUAUCUGUCACGCGCUGCUCUGAGAGCCUGAGCUCUGAUUGGCUGUCUCUUGGUUUCAGGCCACGAAUCACUCUGAUUGGCUGAAAGUUAUCCUCGCAUCUCUUUCAUUCAUGUCAGUGUGGGCUCGCGUCUGGAUGAGAAUGAAUGAGGCCAUCAGCGAAUCUCAUUGACUUACAUUCAGAGCGAAACCACUUUGGAAAACGCAUCAACUGCAUCAGUUCACCAGGUCGGAAUAACGAUGUCAGAGCUGUGGAGGUUGUCAUUUUGCAUGUCAGGAGUUCUUUUUAUAACCUUCCUCUGCCUGGAGAUCGCAAGCUCCUCAUCAGUCAGUCACCAGAUGCCUCCUGAUCUCAUCCAUCCUCCACAAACCAGGAGCGAAGCACAGAGACACAGACAUCAGAUCAACUCGACACGAACACAGAUAGAUUUGAAAGGACUCAACGUUUGUGGCACCAAGUGCUGUUAUUCAUGGCUGGUCAACCCUAAGACCAAACAAUGCACAAAGCCAAGAUGUCAUCCGCGAUGCCAUAAUAAAGCAGUUUGUCGCCGGCUGAACAUCUGUCAGUGUCGUCCAGGCUUCCACGGCCAUCGCUGUGAACACGCUAAUGUCACGCCAACCAUGAGCACCUGGUUUGAAGCUCAUCCUGGUCCCACGGUACCCUCAACUGCCACCACGGCAACAGUUACCAUGGCAUCCACCACCAUCCAUGGCAACAUCUCCACAUCUGCCUCCAGUGAUACUAAUCCAGAUGCAAAAAAGUCAUACUCAUUACGCUGGCAGCCACCCAGAUUUAAAGAGGCCCAGUCAGUCCUUUUGAAGGAAGCUCUGUCCAGUAGAACUGGUGGAGAGAAGAUCACAAGCAUUAUAUUGAAAUACAUUGAAUCAGAGCGAAGCAGAUUGGAGUCUUCAUCCUCUACUCAAGCAACAAAGAUCUCCAGCACCAAAACCUUCCACACUCAGCGUGGCCAGUUCACCCUCAUCUACGUCGCAGGUCAGUCCAAGCCAGCUUUUAGGCGAAACAUUCAACCCAUAUCCCUCCCUAUAUAAAAGAACAUUUCAAAUGAGAUCCCUCUAAUACUUAAAUGGUUUCUCCUUGACAGCAAUUAAAUGAAGAGCUAAUGGAGACUUUGGCUUUGUCUCUUUAUAAAGCAAAUGGGAUUUCAAAAUGUCUCAGAUUGUGUCUGCAAAAUAUUUAUUAUUUUAAUUCACUGCCUCAGCAAUGGUUUGUUUUCCUUGAAGAACUGGGUUUCUCAUGGUCUUGAAAAACCUGGAUAAAUGAGGUAGCCUACUUUUAAAUGAUUUCUAUACCUUAAAAAAGUAAUAAUAAUAAUAAUAAUAAAUAAAUAAUAUAUAUUUAUAUUUUAGAACUUGGCAUUACUAAAAACUAACAAACAAAACCACUGUUUUAAGGUUUAUACAGGUAUCUGUUUAUACAGGUUUAUACAGCAUGUUAGCACUGGCUUCAAAUAGAAAAAUAGAGUAUAAGAUUAAUUAUCUUUAUGGUUCGGCUUGCUCGAGCUCAGUGCAAAUCUAGGAGUCCCCCAGGGCUCGGAAUUAGGACCUAUCCAGUUGUCUUAUGUCAUGAUUUUCUGUGAAUGGGUCCUCAUUCAAAUCGUCUCAUGUGGCGCCGAGGGUGUUCAUGCAGAGUGAGUGUGUGUAUGACACAUGCAGAGUUGGGAGGGUUACAUGUAAAAUGGGAAUGGCCAUACACACAUUUUAUGGGCAGUUUGCUGUUGAUCCAAGCUCACAUCAGUUUGUUUUCACUGUCAAUUAUCUCUGUUUGGGAAUAUUAACCCAUGCUGUGGAAUCAUUUGAAUUUCUUAGUCCAGGCUGUGGAUUUGAAUAAGGGUUGCAUCAACUAGAGUAUUCCGUUGUACAGGAAACCACUGAAAUGUCCAUUAAGGACAGUUUGAAUUCAAAGCAGAAAGUUUAUGUAGAUUAAAUGGAUUUUAGUUUAAUAUUUAUUGAAUGAGUUCUUGUGAAUGUGCCAUUAAAAACAUUUUUUUUUUUUAAAUGAUGUUUUCUGACAAUGUAGUCUGAGUUACGAUCAUAUGAGACACCACAGUUUGUGUUUGUACAUGUUCACUGGAAAAAUUUACACAACUGUCACAAGUACCAGCUUGAGAAGAGAAUAUCUUGUUUUAAUCAUUUGGCCUGUUUCCUGGUUUAAAAUGUUUGUGCCAUGAUAAGGUUUAUCUGCCUGUAGAUUUGGGCUGGUUUGCAUUGAGACAGGCCUCGAUACACCAUUGUAGCACAUUCCUGCCAUUGUUUAGCUUGGCUGAGAGGUGAUGGUGCAGUAAUUACUCAGGAGAGUAAUGUUUGGCUAAUGGGAACCCCUGUGUCUCCAUGACCUCAUAACACACUGGAUCGGCCCUCUGUGGCAGCACAUGGGAAGUGUGGGGAGACUGACUUCUUUCUCACUCACUCACACACACACAAAGAGAGAGAGAGAGAGAGAGAGAGAGAGAGACAUCUAAUAUUGCUUAUCUCUAGAUUUAUGUUCUUUAAGCCCUUGAAUAUGAAGCUGUAGCUGAUAAGUGAAGCUCUGGGGAGCUGAAACUUUGAGUGGCAUGUUACAGCAAUUCCUCAGUCUGGUCCAGCAUAUUUUUGUUUUAGGAUAUUCAUGGAAUUCACUUAAUAUCAAUCAUAUUUUAUUAUGAAGCAGGAUUAUUAUCGUAAACUAAAACUAAAAUAAAUUAUAGGAAAAAUUUUAAAUAAAAAAUCAUUGCUUGAAAUAAAAUAAGCAUUAACUGAAAAAAAAUAAUAUAUAAAAAUUGUAAAACUUUCAAAUGAAAAUUAAAACAGAAAAUAUAAAAAUUUAAAAUGUUAUACUAUAAAAAUGUUAUAUUAUAAAAUAUAAUAGCAUAUCAAUGAAAAAAUAAAUAAAUAAAUAAAUAAACAUAAAAAUAAACCAUAAAAUGUUAUAAGUAAUAAUAAAUAAUAUAAAAAUAAACUGAAAUAAGAUUUAUAAAAAAAGAACUUUAAAAAUCCUUUAAACUUAUUUUAUUUCAGCUAGUUGCCAAGGCAACAUUAAUCGUUUUUUUUUUUUUUUUUUUUUUUAAGUUGAAAAAAGUGUUUAUAUAAAAGAGAAUAAAAAUGACAAAAACACAAAAAAUUACUAAAACUUUAACUAAAAUUAAAAGGAAAAAAAAACUAAAACCAUAACACUAAUCCAAUAAAACAUAUUAAUUGCCUAAAAUACAAUGAACAUUAAUUGAAAUAAGUUACGAUAUAAAUAAUAAGCUUCUUCCAAGGCAACAUUUCACACUUUUUAGUUAAAGUACUAAAAAUAACAAAAAAAUAUUUAAAAUGUCUAUAUAUUGUUUUAUUAUGUUUUAUUAUGUUUUAAAAAAACAUUUUCACUAAAAUUACAAUAAAAAGAGAAAAUAUAAAAAAUAAAAUAUAAAAUAUUCUCAAAAACUAUGACAGAAUAUCAAUUAUACUAAAAUAACACUGUUAUGAAUAAGUUUUGGCUGAAGAAUUUCUGAGCUGAGGUUAUUUGGGGUUUUUCUGAGCUGGUCUAUACAGUGUUUCCUUAGCUGAGUGUGGUUUUAUGUAAUGAAGUGUGCUCUGCAGCCCACAAAUAUUCCCAAAAGUCCUUUCCUAACACCAGUCCGGCCUUUAAAUCCAGAGCCAGCAUGUAAACAACCCCGGACUGUCCACAUAACCUCAGGGCUUCCCACUUCUCUCUCCUCAUCUUCAAACGCUAUAAUACACCUUCUCCAGCCACAUAACAUCAACACUUAUUGCCUGGCGAAGUGGAAAGUGCUCGAAUGAAGGAUGUCGUCUCACGUGGAAAAGAAAAGAGGCACUGCCAAACACCAGAUCUCUGGAAAUCCAACACUUAAUGCAAGUUUCCACGCUGAGAGAGUUUGUAACGUUGAGAGGCGUGACAGAAGCUCAGCAUUCCAACGCAUGAGGAAACCACUUCUUCAUUAAUGACCUAUUUUUGUAAUGAUGAGUGAAAUGGCACACUUUAUAAAUAUUUACACUCGUACGACGAGAGCUGAAUUCCCCCGGUGUCACGAGUCAAUAAGAUGAGCGCAGAACGCAGUCAUAUAGCUGAAGUUUGAGGGCAUCAGAUCUGUUACACAAUAGUUUGACCCUAAGGGUCAGGAUUUUAUUGUCCAGUUUGUGUUGCCAAAUAUGAAUGCUUGUGUGAGAUAUUGUUGAUAGUGGAUUUUGGUGAGCUUAUGAUUAAUGCUGUUUUUCCCCAGUGUCUGUGCACUGAUGUGACCUGUUCUUCUGGAGUUUUAGAGAGGUUUUAGAUUCAAAGAGGCUGUAAUUUGGCACUGUUUCAGACGAUAUUGCUCAUGAUGUGCCGAUGAAGCACAGAAAUCCAGAAAGUCCCACUUAAAACCAGUCAAUAGCCCUUAAAUCC